rnacentral:rRNA from 1 species
UGGGGAAUUUUGGACAAUGGGCGCAAGCCUGAUCCAGCCAUGCCGCGUGCAGGAUGAAGGCCCUCGGGUUGUAAACUGCUUUUGUACGGAACGAAAAGCCUCUUUCUAAUAAAGAGGGGUGACGACGGUACCGUAAGAAUAAGCACCGGCUAACUACGUGCCAGCAGCCGCGGUAAUACGUAGGGUGCGAGCGUUAAUCGGAAUUACUGGGCGUAAAGCGUGCGCAGGCGGUCUUGCAAGACAGUGGUGAAAUCCCCGGGCUCAACCUGGGAACUGCCAUUGUGACUGCAAGGCUGGAGUACGGCAGAGGGGGAUGGAAUUCCGCGUGUAGCAGUGAAAUGCGUAGAUAUGCGGAGGAACACCGAUGGCGAAGGCAGUCCCCUGGGCCUGUACUGACGCUCAUGCACGAAAGCGUGGGGAGCAAACA